AUCAAGGGACGCGUCUUCACAAUUAUAGCACGAGCUUAAUCAAAGAUAGACGUUGCAAAGGAUAUGGAAACUUAGCUUGAUUUAAGGGCGGCAAUUUAGGCUAGAUUGUCUUUUAUUUCUAAAGGGGGGUAGUCAAGCCUAUCCCAGAGAUUGCAGAUGGAAGCCAUAAGCAAUUUAGGCUAGAUUAUCUUUAUUUCUAAAGGGGUAAUGAGCUGAUUAGUGGUCUAUCUACCUAAAAUAAGUUACCUACACAUGUAUAAAUACCCAUCUUCCUCAUUCGGAAGAACACACACAACAUACGACACAACUCUCAACACUUAGACACUCAGUGAUCCUUGUACUC
rnacentral:lncRNA from 1 species